GGGCUCCGAAAUAUUUUCUGGCAUUAAAGGGGGGGCUCUGAAAGUUCUUGAUAUACUGAAGGGGGGGCUCUAAACUUUUCAAAGGUUUGACCCCAGCAAAUUAAAGUUAAAAUUUUUACAUUUUCAGGUAAAAUUUGCGUAAUAAAGUAAUUAUUUUUGUGAAAUGAUAACCAUUUUUGUAAAAUACAGUCAAUUUACAUGUAAUUUGUUUGCAAAAUUUGCUUUAGAAAACGCCAGAAAUUCAGUCCUAGAGCUUCAAAAAUGUAAAAAUUUUCUGGGGGAGGACCCCCAGACCCCCCUUUUCUCCCAAAACUUAGUAUGAGAGUGCCAAUACGUAUAAUCCUCUGACACCCCCACCCCAAACGUCAGAUGCUUUGCUACGUCCCUGAUGGUUGUAUUCGAAACCGAUUUCAGUUUUAAGAUAUCCUUAGUCUGCUCUUCUAAAUGGAUACAUGAAAUCACCUAUAGCUUAUUUUAAAUUUUUUGGCGCCAGGUUUGUGAAGUAACUUACGCGCCAAAAAGUAGCAGUUCCAAAAACAAAAAAGCAUAUACGAUUUGCAAGAAUGAUGUGUUCUAUGUUUAUGGGAUAUUUCGUACAAACGGAAUGGAAAUUAAAGAAAUUGAAGCAUAAUGGCACUUUUGCAUGCAUUUUUGACAGGCAUACAAAGACAUUUGCAACAGAUGCCGGGAGACACUUGGGUGGGGGCGACAUACUGUAAGGUUCCAGCACAUUACCCUGAUCCAGGAAAUCCUGGCCACUACAUGAACGUGUUCAAGACUCCGAAUACGCUGAAUGAUGGACAACAACAACCUGUUGAUAAUUUCACCCCUAGAGCCAAUUUAAAAUGUUUUAAAGACGGUGCCAUUUCAUCUGGCGCUAGUGAGGUGAAAGAAGCAGCAGAUCGGUAGUUUUGUUGAGGAGAAGCACAUGCUUGAGUAUAUCAGACAUCUUGAGGAACUGCAAAUUGUAUCUAUGAUAAGAGAGAAUUCCGGAUUGUACUCCUUCGAUUCCGAAUUCUAGAGGGGGGGGGGCAUUGAAAAUUUUAAAAACUUGGAGGGGGGGCAUCGAAAUUUACCGAUAACCUCAACAGGGGCCCUGUAAAAAUAUGAGCUUUUUUCAAGACAUCUUCAUCCCCCCCCCCCCUCGGUGUAAUAAAUGUACUUUCCCUAA